GUCCCUGUGGCUCAGUUGGUAGAGCAUGGUGUUUGCAACGCCAGGGUUGUGGGUUCGAUUCCCACGGGGGGCC
rnacentral:tRNA from 1 species